rnacentral:lncRNA from 7 species
ACCUAUGUUGUUUCACUAACUCACAGCCAUGAAACAGAAUCACAGAGUGAUUGAGGUGGGAAGGGCCCUCUAGAGCUCACGUGGUCCAACCCCCCACCUCCAGCAGGACCACCCAUAGCAGAUUGCCCAGGCUAUGUCUGGAUAGCCUUUGAAACCAUCAGGUAACUACUGCAGUUAUAACUUGCUGUCCUGUGGUGACAGUUAGCAUCUCUUUAAAUUGAAAAUUUCAUCUAAUUCCUCAUUGGAUUUCAAAACUUAUUUACCACAGUAUCAUUGGCAGCCCAAUCUGAUUGAUGUUAUAUUCACAGACCAGAACAAAUAUCAUAAAGGUGUGAUAAUUUUAGCAGGACCUCUAAUAGUCUGUGGACUCAUCUUCUGCCCCCUCCCCACCAUUCCUUAAACCUGAUCCCAAUUUAAACCUCACUUGACCUUCCUUGCAGUUUCUGCCUUUGCCCUUUUUCACCAACAUUCUGCCUAUUUUUUUGCCCGUGUACAAACAUCUUUUUUGAGUGACCUCUCACUAUUCUGAUCACUCUCUACAAAGUCCUUUCCCAAACAUGUAUGGGCUUCUUACCAGUCAGCCAAGUAUUUGUGAGAAGGUGCCACUUCAGUGGUCUGCAUGUUUGACCAAGAAAUUCCAGCUGAGCACAGUUAACAUUUAUGUCUUCCUACAACUGCCAGAUGCACUCCAACUGGAUCAGCAUGAUUGUCUCAUAUACUACGACUCUACUCCGUGUGAAUAUCCGGGCACUAUUUUGGCAGCUAAAAAGGCCAUAGUGAUCUUCCCUCUGUUUCCAGGCAUCUUGUUAAUGGACGGGAGAUAGGAAUGGAAGAAACAGAAUGAAAAAAGAGAAAUAAGAUAAGGAAGAAAAACCGGAGAGUCAGUCUGCUGGUUGCUGAACUCAGAGGGCUGAGUUCAGAUGCUGGAGGAAGAAUCAACUCAGAAAUAGAGGUCAGGAAGAGAAAAAGAGAGUAUUAAAAGUUGGUAAAGAGAUUUUUUUGUGGAAGAAAAGAUAAAUUUGAGACCCUGAUACAACUUUCUUCUGGAGGAAGAAAGAUAUGCCUCAGGAAAGAGAGAAUGAUAAAGCCUGCCUGGCUGAGACACGUGCGUACAGGGAAUCCCCAGGGACAAACCCGUGCUUUUGAAUUCCCUCCAACUUUCACUCGCAUAAAUGAGAGCACAUAUGUCUCCUUAAUUCACAAGAAAAUCUGAUUUUGAAAUUGCCAUGGCACCUGGCUCUCUAGCAAAUAUGCACAUUAUAGAUGAAGUAGCAUGGGCAUGCAGGACAGAAAG